UUUAACACUGGAAAGAUUAUAUCAUUAACAUCAUAAGUUUACAUCAUAUGGUAAUCUUAGCCGGCGGACGGCAGAUAUGUCUCCUGAGACAGAAGCCCAAACAAGGGAAGCUUGAUGAAACACACAGGACUAAAUAUAACAUCACUUACAUGGCUAACAUAAGACUAGAAGAACCAAGGAAACCCAAAACUAAAACAUAGAGUGGACGCCAAAUCUUGGCCAAACCACUAAAGAUGUGCCCUUCCAUAGUGAAUAAACCAAGGAAUUUAGGAACAAGAGCUUCAUAGCCGGAAACUUUUUUUUGGAAACGGCGUUAUAUAAGACGAAAAAGAAACGUCUAAAGAGCAGUUUCAUGAAAAUACCAGAUCUCGAUGUUGAGAGAUGACAGAGCAAACACAGACCACACCAGUUACCUCCAGCCACAAACGAUUGAGGAGAGAGGAAGAUCGACCGGAGCAGACAAACCAGGAUCUACGAAAGAGAAGCUUCUGCAAACUCGAGACCAAGACACCAAAUUAUAGAGCAAUCAGCACAACUGUUAAAGAAGGGAGACCCCAAAAUGGAACCACCGAUCUACUGCAUGCGCCCCAAUCCGAUUAAAACCCAAAGAGAUCAUCAAAAUCCAAACCUCCAAACAGAUCAAAACUAGACCUAGAUCUAGAAAAUCAUUAUGAGAGAAAAUGAGAAAUUGAUGAUCUACACAAAAAGAGUAUAAAACAGAAAUUUUAGAGAUGCAACUCCGACUCCGGCUCUGUGUGAGCAACCGGAGUCGGUGAACAGCGACUAUAACAGAUGGGAAUCAAAAGAGACGAAAAAUCGUAUUUAGAGAGAGAAACUUUGAUAGUCUGUGUGACAUUUGGUUGAAUCUGUUCUGAUUUGUCCAUCAAAGCUGAAUUUUGUUUUGCCAAAAAAGAGUUUAAGAUCUAUUAAUAGUUAAGAUAUUAUGUCAUAUUAUUUUAGUUCAAUAUAAUAAUUUUA